GUGAAUAUGAAAGACCUUACUGAACCCAAACUUUUAAAUAAAAAAGGAAAUAAAUAAAUAAAUAAACAAACAAAUACAUACAUCUUAAAUAUUUGAAAAGUCUUUAAUAAGUGAAUUGCAUGCAAAAAUAAGCAGCAAUUCAUUGCAGUCAUUAUUUUAGGGUCUUUUUUUUUGCUUUUUAGGUUCUUUUUUAAUAUUAUAUUUCAAAAUAUUGUGAUAUUUACUGUAACCACUAUAGAAAAUGAUUCAUACCAUGAUAUUAAUGCCUAGAUUUUGGUCAUACCGCCCACCCCUACCACUAGAGGAAUAUUAAGAUAGGAAAGAGCUAGUCAUAUGUAUUUGCUGACAUGUUGUGUUUACAUAGCCAGCCUCUACCAAUGGUAGCUUUGUUCACAAGCAUUCAAAUUCAACUGGCUGAAUAGGAUGCAUGUUUUCUUUCAAAAUCCUGUUCCUGCCUCUGCCUCUCUCUACAGAGCACUUCAACAGACUGGAGAAUCUUUGAAUAGGCCAACAGCAGGAGAAGAGAGACCAUGAACAGCUUGAUAAUGAGGAAGCUGAUUAAGAAAAUCUGUUUCUUUGCAAAUUUGUAGACAAGAUGGACUGUGUGGCCUCCGCACCCAUUGUUGGCCAUCUGUAGAUAUGAGGCUCCAUUAGAAAGUCUUUCUUGGUGGUUAGAGGGUGUAGCAUUGCCUUAGGGCAUUAGUGUGUGCACUGUGUUCGAGGACCUGGGGGAUUACAACGGCUCGUACACUAUCAGCUGAAAUUCAUUAACCCCAGAGGAUAACCUCAGGAGGGAGGCAGUGAAAGCAACUGCCACUAUUGCAGUGCUGAAACCUAUAAUUAUGCAGCCACAGGCUGGGCGAGUGUGUGCUUCUGUGUACGUACAUGUACGUGUGAAAGAAAGAGAUCUAAGGGAUGCUCAGACUCUGAAGAUGGUGACUUGAUGACUCCGCAAAAUUAUCACAAACCAUUCCUGACAACUAAGGGAGACCAGGGCUGGACGUCACACAUUUUCUACUCCAAAUAAAUUCCUCAAGGUGGGUUUAUUUUCAGAGGUAAAUUUCAUUGCCCUGCAAACUGAUAAAAUGGAGUAACUAAGCCAACAAUAAAGCUGAAUUAUUAUUAUUUUUUUUAGGUUUU
ensembl:lncRNA